rnacentral:snRNA from 1 species
GGAUGUAAGGGCAAUCUGGCUGUGACAUCUGUCAUCCCAUUAGUUGCCAGGGUUGAUUUGACUGGCUAGGUGGGUGUCCCCUUCCUCCUUCACCACUCCCCAUAUGUGCCCUUUCCAAAGCUAUGCACCCUGUCGAAAAAGACUACCAUUCCUGGUAGAGGAGGUUCUUCAGUCAGUGGUAUACAAAUAGUUGCAUUCUUCCACUAGAACCUUGUUCUAGCUAGAACAAGCUCUCAAAGUGCUGACAUUACAGGUGUGAGCCACCACACCUG